rnacentral:rRNA from 1 species
GACGAACGCUGGCGGCGUGCUUAACACAUGCAAGUCGAGCGAGGCCCUCCUUCGGGAGGUGUCCUAGCGGCGAACGGGUGAGUAACACGUGGGCAACCUGCCCUCAGCUCUGGGAUAACCCCAAGAAAUUGGGGCUAAUACCGGAUACGACCGCUGACCGCAUGGUCUGGGGGUGGAAAGAUUUAUCGGCUGGGGAUGGGCCCGCGGCCUAUCAGCUUGUUGGUGGGGUAGUGGCCUACCAAGGCGACGACGGGUAGCCGGCCUGAGAGGGUGACCGGCCACACUGGGACUGAGACACGGCCCAGACUCCUACGGGAGGCAGCAGUGGGGAAUAUUGCGCAAUGGGCGGAAGCCUGACGCAGCGACGCCGCGUGGGGGAUGACGGCCUUCGGGUUGUAAACCUCUUUCAGCAGGGACGAAGCGAAAGUGACGGUACCUGCAGAAGAAGCACCGGCCAACUACGUGCCAGCCGCCGCCGUAAUAC